rnacentral:rRNA from 1 species
GUCAUGGCGGCAGCUUACCAUGCAGUCGAGCGGGGAAGGGUAGCUUGCUACCUGACCUAGCGGCGGACGGGUGAGUAAUGCUUAGGAAUCUGCCUAUUAGUGGGGGACAACAUUCCGAAAGGAAUGCUAAUACCGCAUACGCCCUACGGGGGAAAGCAGGGGAUCUUCGGACCUUGCGCUAAUAGAUGAGCCUAAGUCAGAUUAGCUAGUUGGUGGGGUAAAGGCCUACCAAGGCGACGAUCUGUAGCGGGUCUGAGAGGAUGAUCCGCCACACUGGGACUGAGACACGGCCCAGACUCCUACGGGAGGCAGCAGUGGGGAAUAUUGGACAAUGGGCGAAAGCCUGAUCCAGCCAUGCCGCGUGUGUGAAGAAGGCCUUUUGGUUGUAAAGCACUUUAAGCGAGGAGGAGGCUACCGAGAUUAAUACUCUUGGAUAGUGGACGUUACUCGCAGAAUAAGCACCGGCUAACUCUGUGCCAGCAGCCGCGGUAAUACAGAGGGUGCGAGCGUUAAUCGGAUUUACUGGGCGUAAAGCGUGCGUAGGCGGCUUUUUAAGUCGGAUGUGAAAUCCCUGAGCUUAACUUAGGAAUUGCAUUCGAUACUGGGAAGCUAGAGUAUGGGAGAGGAUGGUAGAAUUCCAGGUGUAGCGGUGAAAUGCGUAGAGAUCUGGAGGAAUACCGAUGGCGAAGGCAGCCAUCUGGCCUAAUACUGACGCUGAGGUACGAAAGCAUGGGGAGCAAACAGGAUUAGAUACCCUGGUAGUCCAUGCCGUAAACGAUGUCUACUAGCCGUUGGGGCCUUUGAGGCUUUAGUGGCGCAGCUAACGCGAUAAGUAGACCGCCUGGGGAGUACGGUCGCAAGACUAAAACUCAAAGGAAUUGACGGA